GCCCCCUCAGGGUCGCAUCUGGAGAGUUUCCAGUACUCUACCAGUCUCGGCUAUGGGAGGGAGAGUCAGGCAGAGGCCUGUCCAUUCCGCUCCUAGGUUGGCCGGUGGCUAGUGAGUGGAAGGCUAUCUGUUACAGGU